GAUGAAGAACGUAGUGAAAUGCGAUAAGUAAUGUGAAUUGCAGAAUUCAGUGAAUCAUCGCAUCUUUGAACGCAUCUUGCGCUCCUUGGUAUUCUGAGGAGCAUGCCUGUUUGAGUGUCAUUAAAUUCUCAACUACACUGACUUUGAAUUGGUGUGGCUUGGAUUUGGGGGGAAAAUUGUUGUGGGCUUUUUGUAUAGUCUGCUCCCCUGAAAUUGAUUAGCGGUACCUUUGUGGAACUGUCUACAGGUGUGAUAAUUAUCUACAUCUUAGACAUCUGCUGGAAUGCUGCUCUCUAAACCUUACUUGUAUUGACAAUCUUGACCUCAAAUCAGGUAGGACUACCCGCUGAACUUAAGCAUAUCAAUAAGCGGAGGA
rnacentral:misc_RNA from 1 species